rnacentral:lncRNA from 1 species
GUGAUCCUUCUCAAAAUUCUAUAGUAACUCUAGCAAACCAUGGUAGUUUACCAUAGGCUUCGUCAUUCUAUAAUGACUGAGAAAGGAUAGGUAGGAUUUCGGUAGCAAAUUGAGGAUAGCAUCCUUACCUAACAGUUCAUGCAACGAAAAGUCAAGUUUGUUAAGGUGUUCAAUCUACUCAAUCAUGUAUAAUACAUGAUCGGUGACUG